rnacentral:rRNA from 1 species
AGAGUUUGAUCAUGGCUCAGAACGAACGCUGGCGGCGUGCUUAACACAUGCAAGUCGAGUGCGCGUGCCGUAGCAAUACGGUAUGGCGCACGGCGCACGGGUGCGUAACACGUGGGCAAUCUGCCCUCCGGUGGGGAAUAACCCCGCGAAAGCGGGGCUAAUUCCGCAUAACAUUCCCUGAACUCUGGUUCGGGGAUUCAAAGCAGCAAUGCGCCGGAGGAGGAGCCCGCGCCCGAUUAGCUAGUUGGCGAGGUGACGGCUCACCAAGGCAAUGAUCGGUAGCUGGUCUGAGAGGAUGGCCAGCCACACUGGAACUGAGACACGGUCCAGACUCCUACGGGAGGCAGCAGUGGGGAAUCUUGCGCAAUGGGCGAAAGCCUGACGCAGCGACGCCGCGUGGGGGAUGAAGCUUCUCGGAGUGUAAACCCCUUUCGACCGGGACGAAUGCCCGCAAGGGAGUGACGGUACCGGUAGAAGAAGCCCCGGCUAACUACGUGCCAGCAGCCGCGGUAAGACGUAGGGGGCCAGCGUUGUUCGGAAUUACUGGGUGUAAAGGGUUCGUAGGCGGUGUGGCAAGUCGGGAGUGAAAUUUCUGGGCUUAACUCAGAAGCUGCUUCCGAAACUGCUGUGCUAGAGUGCGGGAGAGGCGCGUGGAAUUGCAGGUGUAGCGGUGAAAUGCGUAGAUAUCUGCAGGAACACCCGUGGCGAAAGCGGCGCGCUGGACCGUUACUGACGCUGAGGAACGAAAGCUAGGGGAGCAAACAGGAUUAGAUACCCUGGUAGUCCUAGCCCUAAACGAUCACGACUUGGGGUGCCUUCCGUUCGGAAGUCGUCCCGGAGCUAACGCGUUAAGUCCUGCACCUGGGGAGUACGUCGCAGACUGAAACUCAAAGGAAUUGACGGGGGCCCGCACAAGCGGUGGAACAUGUGGUUCAAUUCGACGCUACGCGAGGAACCUUACCU